AACGCAACUUGCGCCUUUUGGUAUUCCGAAAGGCAUGCCUGUUUGAGUGUCAUGAAAUCUCAACCAUUAGGGUUUCUUAAUGGCUUGGACUUGGGUGUUUGCCUGUUACAAGGCUCGCCUUAAAAGAGUUAGCAUGGUGAGCGAUCACUUGUCUGGCGUAAUAAGUUUCGCUAAGGCUGAUUGUGAACAUGUGCUUCUAAUCGCUGGGCAACUAGCAAUUUCUAUAUCUCUGACCUCAAAUCAGGUAGGGCUACCCGCUGAACUUAA
rnacentral:misc_RNA from 1 species